UGGAAAAGUGCAUCAGUGAAAACAAACCAGCUUGAAGCUGUGGGCGUGUGAGGCUUCUGUAAUUUAGUAUAAAAUGGGAGGAAGUGCCUUUCGUUCCUGGUCCAACGUUUCGCCUAUUUAUUUUUUACUUUGUACCUGCUUGAAGCAAAUAAAUAUGAUCUCCCUUAUUUUCAAUAAAUACAAUAUAUAAAACAAAAGAAAAA